ACUUCUGUCAGUUUGUCAGGCAAUAAACAAGCAACCCAUUGACAUCAACAAGAGUCAGAGACUCCAGCAGAUGAAGACGAUGAUGAUGACGACACGUCAGGUUGUCAGAGGCCCAUUGCCUGAUGCUCGAAGACGAGACCGGUACCGGACCGGGCUACAUAGCUCCGACCCGAGCCCAGCAGAAGGGCCCAAGGGCAUGUCGGCGGUGCUCGAGAAGGCAGAGAAAAAACAACAGCGAAAUCAACACACACUUCAUCGAACGAAAAAUUGGAAUUCCUGCAUACAAAAUGAAGAGCAGCAAGAUGAAAAAUAAUAAUUAUGAAAAAAGCAGGCAGGCAGGUUGAAGGAGGCCAUGGAAUAGAGGCACCUCAGCAUCGAGUCCACAACACAGCAGCAGCAGCUACAAUAUCAUAAUAAUCAUCAGCGGCCGAAUAAGUGCCUAUCAAUGACGACGUCGUGGACGCAAAGCUGGAAUGGAAGUGGCAACAAGUGGAUGGCCAGGGGAGUAGAGCUCUUCGAGUUUGGAUCACUCAAAAAAAUGAUUAGGGAAUACUAGCAUAAUAUUUUGUUGCCAAACCUAAUCAUAAUGUUCUGGGAAGGGGAACUUCUCCCAUAGCAUAGAGCGAUUUUCAGUUUAUUUGGAUUUACGAGAAGACCCAUUUCUUUUGCACAGUGUAGAAACGGAGUCGAGGCGAGAGCGAGUGUUGCAUACCAAGCCCAAAACGCAGCAUCGAACAAAACCCGGAGAGAAAGAGGAAAAAACAGGUAGAAAGACAGAAGUUUUCGGCCAAAGGCUCUCCAAUGGAAUUCGUUCCUGUGCACGUAUCGGAAUCCUGGUAUUCUACGAGCUGCGGGCAGGUGUUAGGGCCAAAACAGUCGGAUCUCGGGAAGCCACUCGUCUACGGCGGCCUGAUGUGAUGGAUCCUCACGCAAUCCCAGCGUUCCAUUCUACCUUGCCCGCUCCCAACGGCAAAAACCUAAUAAUUAACAUAUUUUCCAUCGCAUUCCUCAACGCUCACAAUUAACACGCACGCACUCGGUUUUUGGAGGAGGGUUUCGAGGGGCAGCGAAAUAAAUCUUCAAUUUGAAACACAUGCAACACAAAUUACAGCCUCAAAAGCAGAGGCAGCUGGCAAGGCAGAGGCAGAGGCAGAGGCAGGGGCAGGGGCAAGGCUCAUCAAGCAGAGGAAUUCCUGAGGUAAUGGCAGGAGAAUGGGGAGGAGGUGGGGGGCAGGAGAUGCAGUCUUAAGUUGAAGAUGGAGAAAGAGAACGAGACGCAGUCAGGGACAGCUGCGCCCAAUGCCAUGCCAUGGCUUGGAAUUCUUCAGAUUCAGAUUUAUUUUCAAGAAGGCUGCAGUCCGAGCUGGAGUGGCCAUAAUAACCAAAAAAAAAAAAAAAAAAUUCCGCAGGCGAAACUAAA